GUUCUUGCUUGGACAGCACAUAUACUAAGAUUGGAACCAUACAGAGAAGAUUAGCAUAGUCCCUGUGCAAGGAUGACACGAAAUUCAUGAAGCGUUCCAUAUUGUU
rnacentral:snRNA from 1 species